CCUACGGGUGGCAGCAGUGGGGAAUAUUGCACAAUGGGGGAAACCCUGAUGCAGCGACGCCGCGUGAAGGAAGAAGUAUUUCGGUAUGUAAACUUCUAUCAGCAGGGAAGAAAAUGACGGUACCUGUCUAAGAAGCCCCGGCUAACUACGUGCCAGCAGCCGCGGUAAUACGUAGGGGGCAAGCGUUAUCCGGAUUUACUGGGUGUAAAGGGAGCGUAGGCGGCGAUGCAAGUCAGAAGUGAAAGCCCGGGGCUCAACUCCGGGACUGCUUUUGAAACUGUGUUGCUGGAGUGCUGGAGAGGUAAGUGGAAUUCCUGGUGUAGCGGUGAAAUGCGUAGAUAUUAGGAGGAACACCAGUGGCGAAGGCGGCUUACUGGACUGUAAAUGACGCUGAGGCUCGAAAGCGUGGGGAGCAAACAGGAUUAGAUACCCUUGUAGUC
rnacentral:rRNA from 1 species